CUGUUGGGUAGGGGAGCGUUGUGUAAGCGGAAGAAGGUUGAUCGAGAGGUGGGCUGGACGUAUCACAAGUGCGAAUGCUGACAUAAGUAACGAUAAAACGGGUGAAAAACCCGUUCGCCGGAAGACCAAGGGUUCCUGUCCAACGUUAAUCGGGGCAGGGUGAGUCGGCUCCUAAGGCGAGGCUGAAAAGCGUAGUCGAUGGGAAACAGGUUAAUAUUCCUGUACUUGGUAAAGCUGCGAUGUGGGGACGGAGUAGGUUAGGUUAUCGCACUGUUGGAUAUGUGCGUUUAAGUUGGUAGGUGGGAAGUUUAGGCAAAUCCGGACUUCCUUAACACAGAGAGAUGAUGACGAGGCUCUACGGAGCUGAAGUAACUGAUACCACACUUCCAGGAAAAGCCACUAAGCGAAAGGCUUUACUAAACCGUACUGAAAACCGACACAGGUGGUCAGGUAGAGAAUACUCAGGCGCUUGAGAGAACUCGGGUGAAGGAACUAGGCAAAAUAGCACCGUAACUUCGGGAGAAGGUGCGCCGGCGUAGAUUGUAAGGGCUAGCCCCUGAAGGUUGAACCGGUCGAAGAUACCAGCUGGCUGCAACUGUUUAUUAAAAACACAGCACUCUGCAAACACGAAAGUGGAGGUAUAGGGUGUGAUGCCUGCCCGGUGCUGGAAGGUUAAUUGAUGGUGUCAUCGAAAGAGAAGCACCUGAUCGAAGCCCCAGUAAACGGCGGCCGUAACUAUAACGGUCCUAAGGUAGCGAAAUUCCUUGUCGGGUAAGUUCCGACCUGCACGAAUGGCAUAAUGAUGGCCAGGCUGUCUCCACCCGAGACUCAGUGAAAUUGAAAUCGCCGUGAAGAUGCGGUGUACCCGCGGCUAGACGGAAAGACCCCGUGAACCUUUACUAUAGCUUGACACUGAACAUUGAAUUUUGAUGUGUAGGAUAGGUGGGAGACUUAGAAGUAGGAACGCCAGUUUCUAUGGAGUCAUCCUUGAAAUACCACCCUUUAACGUUUGAUGUUCUAACGAAGAUGACGAAACGUGGUCUCGGACAGUGUCUGGUGGGUAGUUUGACUGGGGCGGUCUCCUCCCAAAGCGUAACGGAGGAGCACGAAGGUUUGCUAAUCACGGUCGGACAUCGUGAGGUUAGUGCAAUGGUAUAAGCAAGCUUAACUGCGAGACAGACAAGUCGAGCAGGUACGAAAGUAGGUCAUAGUGAUCCGGUGGUUCUGAAUGGAAGGGCCAUCGCUCAACGGAUAAAAGGUACUCCGGGGAUAACAGGCUGAUACCGCCCAAGAGUUCAUAUCGACGGCGGUGUUUGGCACCUCGAUGUCGGCUCAUCACAUCCUGGGGCUGAAGUAGGUCCCAAGGGUAUGGCUGUUCGCCAUUUAAAGUGGUACGCGAGCUGGGUUUAGAACGUCGUGAGACAGUUCGGUCCCUAUCUGCCGUGGGCGU
rnacentral:rRNA from 1 species